CCCACAACUGCCGAAGCAAUGUUACUUUUCCCGGAAGUAACGUCGAUUGAAACCGCCCGGGAUCCUGGGAAUAUUUGUGCCCGCAAGCUAGAGGUGGAAAAGUGUCGCCAAAUUGACAACUUGAGGGGAAGGAAAGGAGCUGAGAACUCAGUGGAUGCGGUGUAGAAGCCACAGGUGUUGGUUUGCCUCAGUGUGGGACCACCUUCAGAACCACUACUAAAGCAAUGAAUGCCUCAGUGUUCUCAGCACAGCCACCCCCAAGGUACAGCCUCUGUCCCACAGCAAGGGCCAGGGAGAAGAAAGAACCCCUGCACAUUAGCCCAGAAUUUGGUAUCAGCAACAGGUAGGUGGGAGCUGGAUGAGAACUGCUGACGUCUUGCCCUUACCAGGAAGAUGGCUCUCCAACUGGAAGCUAGGGAGAGAGGAAGCCCUGUGGUCUUGGCUGCACCACCCUGGAGUGGAGUCUCUACUUGGCUAAACUGGAAGGGGAGAGGAGGGAAAUGAAUUCUGGUUAAAACACCACACCAUUCAUUACAUAGAAGUGGACCAUCAUAAAGGUCUUCAUCCUCAUUGCUUUCACACUGAUAGGCUAAGGAGAAGGAGAAGGAAGAAGAGAAGGGUCUUACUGUCUUGGGGUGGCGGAGAGAUGAAGAAAAUUCAUAUGUACAUGGAUCUGUGCAGAUCAAAUCUGUGUUGGUCAAGGGUCAACUGUAUAUAAAAAUUAUAUUUUCAUAUAAUAGAAACAAAUAAUUGAAAGUUAAAAUAUUUAAAAUACAGUUUAUAAUAACAAGCCAUGAAAUAUUUGGUGUGGAUGUUUGUCCCCACAAAAUCUGAUGUUGCAAUGUGAUUCCGAAUGUUGGAGCUGGGGCCUCAGGAGAGGUAAUUGGAUCAUGGGGGUGGAUUUAUCACACAUGGGUUAGCAUUAUCCCCGUGGUGAUAAGUGAGUUCCCCUUAUGAGAUCUGGUUGUUUAAAACUGUAUGGCACAGGCCAGGUGCAGUGGCUCAUACCUGUAAUCCCAGCACUUUGGGAGGAUGAGGUGGGUAGAUCACCUGAAGUUGAUAGUUUGAGACCAGCCUGACAAACAUGGAGGAACGCCAUCUCUACUAAAAAUGCAAAAUUAGCCAAGCAUGGUGGCACAUGUCUAUAAUCCCGGCUACUCGGGAGGCUGAGGCAGGAGAAUUGCUUAAACCCAGGAGGCAGAGGUUUCAUUGAGCCUUGAUCACACCAUUGCAUUCCAGCCUGGGCAAAAAGAGUGAAACUCUGUCUCAAAAAAAAAAAAAGGUUGAUGUCCUAGGCUAGGGUGCCUAUAAUCCCAGCUACUAAGGAGGCUGAGGCACGAGCAUCACUUGAAGCCAGGCGGCAGAGGCUGCAAUGAGCUGAGAUUGUGCCACUGCACUCCAGCCUGGGCAAUAAGAGCGAAACUCCAUCUCAAAAAACAGAAAAAAAAAAUUUAUGUCCUUGGGAGGCUGAGGCAGGAGAAUUGCUUGAACCAGGGAGGCAGAGGUUGCAGUGAGCCAAGAUCGCACCACUGCACUCCAGCCUGGCGCCUGGCGACAGAACAAGACUCUGUCUCAUUAAAAAAAAAAAAAAAAAAAGAUUAUGUUAUAGUUUAUUAUACUGAAAAAAAAAUUAUAGAUGUAGACUUACAUAUUUUGGUCAAUUGAUUGUCAUCAAAGGUUCCAAGGUGAUUCAAUGAAGAAAAAAUAAACUUUUCUAAAUUGAUUGUAGGAAUAAUUGGCUAUUCAUAUACAAAAUAAUGUGCCUUGACCCUUGACUUGGAACAGCCAGAAAAAAUUAAUUUGAAAUGGAUCAUAGACCCAAAUCUCUAAAACCUAAAAGAAAACCUCUAGAAGAAAAUACUAGAGGAAAUAAUUGUGAUCUUGAGUUAGACAAUGAUUUCAUUCAGCGGAUACAAAAACAAUAGCUGGUUUCAAAAAAAAAAAAACUGUAAUAAAUUAGACUUCAUCAAGAUUAAAAUCUCCUAUACUUGGAAAGACAUUUUUUGUUUGUUUGUUUUUUUUUGAAAUGGAGUCUUCCUCUUGCUUAUGCUGAAGGGCAGUGGCUCGAUCUUGGUUCACUGUAACUUCCACCUCCCGGGUUCAAGCGAUUCUCCUGCCUCAGCCUCCUGAGUAGCUGGGACUACAGGCAUGUGCCACCAUGUCUGGCUAAUUUUGUAUAUUUAGUAGGGAUAGAGUUUCACCAUGUUGCUCAGGCUGGUCUCAAACUCCUGACCUCAGGUGAUCUGCCUGCCUUGGCCUCCCAAAGUGCUGGGAUUACAGGCAUAAGCCAACUCGCCCCACCAUGUCUGGGCUGAGAUCAUGUCUGAGCUGAGAUUGUACCAUUGCACUGCACCCUGGGCAACAAAACUGAAAAACUUUGUCUCAAAAUAAGUAAAUAAAUAAAUAAUAAAAAUAAAAUGAAUUUACAGACUAUGAAAAAAUAUUUUCAAAAUACUUGCUUUAAAGUGUUCUUGCCGGACGCAGUGGCUCAUGCCUAUAAUCCCAGGACUUUGGGAGGUCGAGGCAGGUGGAUCACGAGGUCAAGAGAUUGAGACCAUCCUGGUCAACAAGGUGAAACCCUGUCUCUACUAAAAAUACAAAAAUUAGCUGGGCAUGGUGGUGUGCACCUGUAGUCCCAGCUGCUCGGGAGGCUGAGGCAGGAGGAUUGCUUGAACCCAGGAGGUUGCGGUGAGCCAAGAUUGUGCCAUUGCACUCCAGUGUGGGUAACAAGAGCCAGACUCUGUCUCAAAAAAAAAAAAAAAAAAAAAGAAUAUGUAUGUAUGUGACAUUUUGGGCUGGGUGAGAAAAAUAAAUAUUAAAAUUAAAAAAUUUUAAAAAUAAGAAUAUAUAUGUAUGGCCAGUAAACACAUUAAAAAUGCACACCAUUUUUAAAGAAAAUGCAAAUUGAACCUCUAGAAUGAUUAAGUUAAAAAAGACUGACCUCGACCGGGAACGGUGGCUCUCCUCUGUAAUCCCAACAUUUUGGGAGCCUGAGAGGGCAGAUCACCUAAGGUCUGGAGUUUGAGACCAGCCUUACCAACAUGGAGAAACCCCAUCCCUACUAAAAAUACAAAAUUAGCCGGGCUUGGUAGCACAUGCCUGUGAUCCCAGCUACUUGGGAGGCUGAGGCAGGAGAAGCCCUUGAACUCAAGAGGCAGAGCUUACAGUGAGCCAAGAUCUUGCCAUUGCACUCCAGCCUGGGCAACAGGAGCAAAACUGCAUCUUAAAAAAAGAAAAAAAAGGCCGGGCGAGGUGGCUUAAGCCUGUAAUCCCAGCACUUUGGGAGGCCGAGGUGGGUGGAUCAUGAGGUCAGGAGAUGGAGACCAUCCUGGUCAACAUGGUGAAACCCCGUCUCUACUAAAAAUACAAAAAUUAGCUGGGCACGGUGGUGCAUGCCUGUAGUCCCAGCUACUCGGAGGCUGAGGCAGAAGAAUUGCCUGAACCCAGGAGGCAGAGGUUGCAGUGAGCCAAUAUCGCGCCAUUACACUCCAGCCUGGGCAACAAGAGCAAAACUCCGUCUCAAAAAAAAAAAGGAAAGAAAAAAAAAAAGACUGAGCACGCCCACUGGUUUACCCUUAUAUAUAUAAUCUCAGCAGUUUGGGAGACUGAGGCCGGCGUAUCACCUGGGGCUGGGAGUUCGAGACCAGCCAUGACCAACAUGGCGAAACCUUGUCUCUACUAAAAAUACAAAAAUUAACCAGGCAUAGUGGUAGACAUCAGUAAUCCCUGCCACUUGGGAAGCUGAGGCAGGAGAAUCACUUGAACCCAGGAGGUGGAGAUUAUGGUGAGCUGAGAUCACCCCACUGCACUCCAGCCUGGGCAACAGAGCCAGACUCUGCCUAAAAAAAAAAAAAAAAGUUAUAUGAGAGGCCGGGCAUGGUGGUUUACGCCUAUAAUCCUAGCACAUUGGCAGGCCAAGGUAGGUGGAUCACCUGAAGUCAGGAGUUCCAGACCAGCCUGGCCAAAGUGACAAAACCCUAUCUCUACUAAAAAUACAAAAAUUGGCUGGGCAUGGUGGCUCACGCCUGUAAUCCCAGCACUUUGGGAGGCCGAGGUGGGUGGAUCACCUGAGGUCAGGAGUUAAAGACCAGCCUAGCCAUCAUGGUGAAACCCCAUCUUUAUUAAAAAAAAGAAAAAAAGUAAAAAAAAGAAAAAAAAUUUAGCUGGGCUUGGUGGUGGGCGCCUGCAAUCCCAGCUACUCAGGAGGCUGAGGCAGACUAUUGCUUGAACCCCGGAGGCGGAGGUAGCAGUGAGCCAAGAUCAAGCCACUGCACUGCAGCCUGGGCAACAGAGUCAGACUUCGUCUGAAAACAAAACAAAAAAAAUUAGGCAUGGUGGCACAUGGCUGUAAUCUCAGUUACAUGGGAGGCUGAGGCAGGAGAAUUGCUUGAACCUGGUGGGUUGAGGUUGCAGUGAGCUGGGAUUGCGACAUUUCACUCCAGCAUGGUUGAAAGAGCGAAACUCUGUCUCGAAAAAAAAAAAAAAAAUUAUAUGGGGAGGUUUUUGACUGGGCAGUAAAUCAGUGGCCCUAAUGCCUGCGUUGCUCAACAGUCAACUGUAUUAACUUUGUGUCCUACAAUGUUUUAAUUGUCACUUAUUAGUUCUAGUAGAUCUUUGUAAGUUUUUUGAAAUUUUCCUUUUUUUUUUUUGAGAUGUAGUUUUGCUCUUGUUGUCCAGGCUGGAGUGCAGUAGUGUGAUCUUGACUCACUGCAACCUCCGCCUCCUGGGUUCAAGUGAUUCUCCUGCCUGAGAUGCCCUAGUAGCAGGGAUUACAGUAGCCCACCACCACACCCAGCUAAUUUUGUAGUUUUAGUAGAGACAGAGUUUUACCAUGUUGGCUAGGCUGGUCUUGAACUCCUGACCUCAACUCUGACUCACCCAACUUGGCCUCCCAAAGUGCUGGGAUUACAGGUAUGAGCCACCAUGCCUGGACGGGUUUUUUGGAUUUUCUACAUAGAUGGUAUGUUUUCUCUUUUUAACUUUUUUUUGACAUUUUCUUUUUUUUUUUUUUUUUUUUUUUUGAGACAAGGUCUUGCUCUGUCACACAGAGUCCCCAGCUGGAGGGCAAUGAUGCAGUCAUGGCUCACUGCAGCCACAACUUCCUGGGCUUAAGUGAUACUCCCACCUCAGGCUCUUGAGUGUCUGGGACUACAGGUUGCGCCACCAUACCUGGCUAAUUUUUGUAUAUUUUAUAGAGAUGGGGUUUUGCCAUGUUGCCUGGUCUUAAACUCCUGUACUCAAGACCAUGUUGCCUGGUCUUGAACUCCUGGAAAACCAAAGUGUUCAGAUUACAGGCGUGAGCCCCCAUACCCCAAAGAUACGUCGUCUUUGAAUAAAGACUGUAACAAGUCUUAUUCAAAGAUGGGAAGAAAACCAGGUGUGGUGGCUCAAGCCUGUAAUCUUAACACUUUGGGAGGCCAAGGCAGGUGGAUCACCUUAGGUCAGGAGUUCAAGACCAGGCUGGACAACAUGGUGAAACCCCCUGUCUCUACUAAAAUUACAAAAUUAGCUGGGUGUGGUUGCAGGUGCCUGUAAUCCUAGCUACUUGGGAGGCUGAGGCAGAAGAAUCACUUGAACUUGGGAGGUGGAGCUUGCUGUGAGCUGAGAUCCAGCCUGGACAAUAGAGUGAGACUCCUCCUCAAAAAGAAAAAAAAGAAGGGUUUCACCAUGUUGGUGAGACUGGUCUAGAACGCCUGACCUCAGGUAAUCCACCCACCCUGGCCUCCCAAAGUGCUGGGAUUACAGGCGUGAGCCACCACACCCAGCCUCUUUUUUUUUUUAAAGAUAGAAUCGAGAUCUGUCACCCAGGCUGGAGUGUAGUGGAGUGAUCUUAGCUCACUACAACCUCCACCUCCUGGGUUCAAGCAAUUCUCCUGCCUCAUCCUCCCAUGUACCUGCGAUUACAGGCAGGCACCACCAUGCCUGGCUAAUUUUUUUGUAUUUUUAGUAGAGACAGGGUUUCACAUUGUUGGCCAGGCUGGUCUUGAACGCCUGACCUCAAGUGAUUGGCCCGCCUUGGCAUUCCAAAGUGCUGAUAUUACAGGCAUGAGCCACCACGCCUGACCAGAAAGUUCUUUCAGGAAAAUCCAAAAUAAUAAGUGAAGAAGGAAUAAUGGAAUUGGAAAAUCACUAUUUGGUAACCAUCAUAAUAACUGAUUGAGUUAUCAGUGUAUCACUGGAUGCUGUACAAUGCUAAAACUAGUGGGUAAAAGUUUAAGGAGUCUGGGCGUGGUGGCUCACAUACAGGCUCACGCCUGUAAUCCCAGCACUUUGGGAGGUGAAGGUCAGUAGAUCAAGACCAUCCUGGCCAACAUGGUGAAACUGUCUUUACUGAAAAACACAAAAAUUAGCCAGGUGUGGCAGCACAUACCUGCAGUCCCAGCUACUCAGGAGGCUGAGGCAGGAGAAAUGCUUGAACCCAGGAGGCGGAGGCUGCAGUGAACCAAGAUUGCACCACUGCACUCCAGCCUGGGCGACAGAGUGAGAAGACUCUGUCUAAAAAAAAAAAAAAAAGUUUAAGGACCAAGAAGAUGUUUACACAA